CCCUCCCUCUAUAUAUCCCUCCCCCUCUCCCUCUAUAUCCCCUUCUCUCUCUCUCUCUCUCUCUCUAUCCCUCUCUCUCUCCCCUCUCUCCCUCUAUCCCCCUUCUCUCCCUCUCUCCCUAUCCCUCCCUCUCUUCCUAUCCCCCUCUCUCCCUCUAUCCCCUUCUCUCUCUAUAUAUCCCCUCUCUCCUCUAUAUAUCCCCUUCUCUCUCUAUAUAUCCCUCUCUCCCUCUAUAUCCCCUUCUCUCUCUCCCUCUAUAUAUCCCCUUCUCUCUCUCCCCUCUAUAUAUCCCCCUCUCUCUCCCCUCUCUCUCUCUCUCUCCCUCCCUCUAUCCCCCUCCCUCUAUAUAUCCCCCUCUCUCCCUCUAUAUCCCCCCCCUCUCUCCCUCUAUAUCCCCUUCUCUCUCUCUCUCCCCUUCCCUCUCUAUCCUCCCCUCUAAAACACCAGCUAUGACAGCCUCCGCUACCCCGUAGUGGAAUGGAGUCACAAUAAUGCAUCAGCAGCUUGGUUGUUUUAUAGUUUUAGCCUCUUCUUACGUUGUCCAUUCUAUUUUGCUUUGCAUCCACCUGAACUAGGCCUGCUAUGCAUUGCCAAUCUGUAAUGCUGUUCAUCUGUUUUCAGAGGGCAAAAUGAAAUGUUAUAUUUUUUAUAAGAAAUGACUUGAAAUGUCCUACCAUGUGUGAGGACAGGAGUUGUAAUGUUUCCAUGAUGUACAUACUGUACUUUUUAAGAAGUGGAAAAAUAUUUUUCAUUGUACAAAAAUGGAAACAGGCAUUGUAUUUGGUUUAAACAACAAACCAAAAUUUCAUGACCAGUUUAUUUUGAAUGAAAUUGUCAAGUAUACAAUUCCUUUAUGUAAAAGUGUAAUCUAAGAAUAAACUGGUUUUAUGUAGUUUCCUUAAAUGGUUUAAUAACCUUUGACUUUGUUUUAAGUUAAAUUACUCUUGUAUUGGCUACACAGCAACAAGCUUUUUUAAAUGUCUAUUUCAACCAUCAGACUACACUCCAGGGUUCAAAUGUUUUAGUAACGUUCACAUCCAUGACCAGAAUCUGGAAAACACCUUGGCUUACCAUGCAUGCAUCAGUGAAUUCCAAUGCUGUCUUUUCCCAUAAACCCUGCAAUCUAGGACUGUGUCGGGUUACAAUGCUGUCCGGAACACAGUAGCAACUGGCCAAGCCCUUUCUCUUAUUCACCCAAUGUUCGCAGGUCUGAUGGACCCACAACAUUGUUUUUUUUAAACAAUACAGCCAUAACAAUGUAAAAAUGCUUACAUCCGUUACAAG
ensembl:lncRNA